GCAGUGGUGGUUCAGUGGUAGAAUUUUCGCCUUUCCCGUGGGAGACCAGGGUUCGUUUCCUGGCCAAUGUG
rnacentral:tRNA from 1 species